AUGCAGCAUAUGUUUAAACACAGUUGUGGAUGAUAACAGUAGAGGAAAAGCUGAGCUGAUCUGCGGCCAUCUCUUUCACUUAGAUUGUAUCGGUUCGGAAUUCAAUUACAGAAGCGAAAUGAAAUGCCCAAACUGUAGGGUGGUGGAAAAUGGUGAAUGGCUAAUUCCAGAUGAGGAAAUGGAGGAAGACGACGACUAUUUAGUGCACGUGCGCCGUCUUGAACUCCACAUAUACACACAUGGACUUGGUGGAAGGGGUGGUUAUCUGCAGUCUUCCAGG